UACGGGGGGGGCAAGCGUUGUUCGGAAUUACUGGGCGUAAAGGGCUCGUAGGCGGCCAACUAAGUCAGACGUGAAAUCCCUCGGCUUAACCGGGGAACUGCGUCUGAUACUGGAUGGCUUGAAUCCGGGAGAGGGAUGCGGAAUUCCAGGUGUAGCGGUGAAAUGCGUAGAUAUCUGGAGGAACACCGGUGGCGAAGGCGGGUCUCUGGGCCGUAACUGACGCUGAGGAGCGAAAGCGUGGGGAGCGAACAGG
rnacentral:rRNA from 1 species